GUGAAUUAAACAUGCUUGGUGUCUUCGCUUCGGCAAGGCCCUUGCUUAAAUCGCAUCCUAACACCUGUGAACUGUAAGACGUAUGAUGAGGUCUUUGGCCAAGUCAUCGUCUGCCCAUUUUUAACAAACAAUUAAUGUAACAAACGUAGUCUUAUUAUAACCUAAUA
rnacentral:misc_RNA from 1 species